rnacentral:rRNA from 1 species
GAUGAACGCUAGCUACAGGCUUAACACAUGCAAGUCGCGGGGCAGCAUGUCGGUUGCUUGCAACCGAUGAUGGCGACCGGCGCACGGGUGAGUAACGCGUAUCCAACCUGCCCUUCACCACGGAAUAAUCCAGUGAAAAUUGGUCUAAUACCGUAUGAGGUCAUACGAUGGCAUCAGAAUAUGACGAAAGGUUUGGCGGUGAAGGAUGGGGAUGCGUCUGAUUAGCUUGUUGGUGAGGUAACGGCUCACCAAGGCGACGAUCAGUAGGGGUUCUGAGAGGAAGGUCCCCCACAUUGGAACUGAGACACGGUCCAAACUCCUACGGGAGGCAGCAGUGAGGAAUAUUGGUCAAUGGGCGAGAGCCUGAACCAGCCAAGUAGCGUGCAGGAAGACGGCCCUAUGGGUUGUAAACUGCUUUUAUAUGGGGAUAAAGUGAGCUACGUGUAGUUUAUUGCAGGUACCAUAUGAAUAAGGACCGGCUAAUUCCGUGCCAGCCGCCGCGGUAA